GACGAACGCUGGCGGCGCGCUUAACACAUGCAAGUCGAGCGAGAACCAGGGCUUCGGCUCUGGGGACAGCGGCGAACGGGUGAGUAACACGUGAGUAAUCUGCCCUCGACACUGGGAUAGCCCGGGGAAACCCGGAUUAAUACCGGAUAGCCUUUCGAGCUCUCGGGCUCGUCAGAAAAGGAUGGCUUCGGCUUUCGGUUGAGGAUGAGCUUGCGGCGGAUUAGCUUGUUGGUGAGGAACGGCUCACCAAGGCGACAAUCCGUAGCUGGUCUGAGAGGACGAUCAGCCACACUGGGACUGAGACACGGCCCAGGACUCCUACGGGAGGCAGCAGUGGGGAAUCUUGCGCAAUGAGCGAAAGCUUGACGCAGCGACGCCGCGUGAGGGAAGAAGG
rnacentral:rRNA from 1 species